rnacentral:misc_RNA from 1 species
GAUGAAGAACGUAGCGAAAUGCGAUAAGUAAUGUGAAUUGCAGAAUUCCGUGAAUCAUCGAAUCUUUGAACGCACAUUGCGCCCCCUGGUAUUCCGGGGGGCAUGCCUGUCCGAGCGUCAUUGCAACCUUCAAGCGCGGCUUGUGUGUUGGGUCUCGUCCCCCGUGGACGGGCCCGAAAGGCAGUGGCGGCGUCCCGACAUGGUGCCCGAGCGUAUGGGAAUCCUCUUCCGCUCGAAUCGGCCCAUGCGGCGCUAGUCGUAACCAAAUUUUUUACCGGUUGACCUCGGAUCAGGUAGGGAUACCCGCUGAACUUAAGCAUAUCAAUAAGCGGAGGA